GAUUAUCUCCUCAUCAGGCUAAUCACGGUUUUUGACCCGGCUCUUUGCCGGGUCUUUUUUUG
rnacentral:sRNA from 1 species